rnacentral:rRNA from 1 species
AUUGAACGCUGGCGGCAGGCUUAACACAUGCAAGUCGAGCGGGGUGAUGGUGCUUGCACUAUCACUUAGCGGCGGACGGGUGAGUAAUGCUUAGGAAUCUGCCUAUUACUGGGGGACAACAUCUCGAAAGGGAUGCUAAUACCGCAUACGUCCUACGGGAGAAAGCAGGGGAUCACUUGUGACCUUGCGCUAAUAGAUGAGCCUAAGUCGGAUUAGCUAGUUGGUGGGGUAAAGGCCUACCAAGGCGACGAUCUGUAGCGGGUCUGAGAGGAUGAUCCGCCACACUGGGACUGAGACACGGCCCAGACUCCUACGGGAGGCAGCAGUGGGGAAUAUUGGACAAUGGGGGGACCCCUGAUCCAGCCAUGCCGCGUGUGUGAAGAAGGCCUUAUGGUUGUAAAGCACUUUAAGCGAGGAGGAGGCUCUUUUGGUUAAUACCCAAGAUGAGUGGACGUUACUCGCAGAAUAAGCACCGGCUAACUCUGUGCCAGCCGCCGCCGUAA